AACAUCCUCCUGACCCGACCCGAUCCACCUUUAUCUUCUCCUCCACCAACGAUACAAACACAACAACAACAGUUCGAUGCCAUCAACAACCCGACCAACUCCAAAUACCCGAUUCCAUCAACCCCAACCCGUCUAUUUUUCUUCACACGCAUCUUACGCAUCUGUAGAACGAGAAAAGGAUUCAAAAAUCUUCUAGAACGAGCCUAACUAUCCCCCCAAUGGUUCGAUUCUGUGAUUUUCGGGUGUAAUUGUACAAUUCCGUACAUGUAUGUCACAAUUUCAUUGGCUCAUGGUGAAAAUUCAUUUUCCCCCAAUCUCAUUGGUCCACCAAUUUCAAUACUGGUACGUUUGUUAAUGAAACCACAAGCCAAAGGGGGAAUUCGAAUUUCAAAUUCGAAGAUACCUUAUUUUUCAAGUCUCGAAAAUACCCCCAAUUCGUCUUCUAUAUAAGAAAUGAUUGGGUCACUGCUUUAAAAGGAGAUUUUGGGGGGGUCGAAACUUUGGGGUGUUCGAAAAUUCUUGAAAGGUUUUGGGGGGAUUUUUCUCUUCUUUUCGGGUUGGAGAUUCUAGAAUUGGAAAAUUUUUAGAAAAAUUCUAGGGUUAGGAACUUCAAUGCAGAAGAUUUUCUGAGAGCUAGCUAGGUCGGAAAAGGGAGGUUGGAAAAAUUUCAUAGAAAUCUUGAGGUUGGAAAUCUUCGAUUCAGAAAAGCAAAGGAAAAGCAGAGAAAAGAGGGGUUGAGAGAAGAGGGAAUAGUUCCUUAGCAAAAAAAUCUAGAGAAAGAGGUGUGCUGGUCGAGAUUUUGGUAAAGACAUCAACUUUCCGGUGGUCAUGAUCUCCCUACCCGCUUGUCAUCUAGUUUUGUUUCACUUAAAGAGGUAAAUGCACCCUGUUUUCCCUUCAAUUUGACCAUUUUUCUUCUUCGUCUCUUUUUUUUUCCAUAGCUGAUGUAGCCGUAUUCGUGAUCUUGUAUGCUGGGUUUAGCUGCUGUAGAGGUCUUGUAAGACCAUAGGAUACGUUGGAUGAAGGAAUGUUUGUCAUGUCAUUAUGUUUGAUGCUAAACUCCAAGUUCAGUCGUUAAAAAUUUUGGUUUUUAGUCUCAUUUGCGCAUCUCAAUUCCAUAAUCGGUUAUCUGAUUUUGACAUUGCUAAUUAGCUUCCAAUUUGCUGCUUGGUAUUGUAUAGUGCUUCUAAGUUUGACUUACUGAGUUUGAUAGAGAUUCCUAUUUCAAUUUUUUGCUUCACUAGCUUGCUAAAUGUUUGUUUUGUUCGAGUAGUCGCCCUUCUAUUUAGCUGGUAAUAUCACUAGCAGGACCACUUUUACAAGUUUCUUUGGCUUCUCAAAUGUCAAAGAGAAUGACCAAAAUGUGUCCAACAAUGAAAGGUCGCCAAGAGAUCCUAGAAUCUCCUCGACAGCCAUUUCGUUUGAGUCUAUUGAAAUAAGGAGGAGAACAAAAGAUACUGUAUCUCAUUGGCUCCUUUCUUUAGUUUAUUGAUUGUGUUUCCCUUUUAGUAAAAUUUUGAAGAUUGAUUCUUUGCUUUGGAUUCAUUUCAAGCCAAUAGUCUUGUUUGUUUGAAGUCCAUGAAAGAAUAAAAUGGCUAUAUUGAAGAAUAUUAUACAUGAGAAUGGAUUUGGUCUUGUCGAUGUCCAAAAUCAUUGCUAUGUGUGUAUUCUCCCUCAAAGAUGGCUCGUAUAUUUCUUUUAGUUAUUAAUUUCAAGGUCUAAAACUCUUGAGGUUUUGUAAGACCAUAGUUGGAGAAUAGCCGUAUUCGACUCUCAAGCUUGCUGUUUUGAAUAAUGGAAAUUCGGGAGGUUGUUUUGCACUAUCGCGACUUUAAGUAGUUUGAGGUUUAUUUGGAGUAAAAGAGGAACUUCUGGUUUUUUUUUUCUUGAAUUUUCUAUUAUCUAUUUUGAGGCAUUUGUUUGUAUAAUUUAAUGCAACUCACGAGGUCUUUUUAAUUUGAUGAUAUUAAAAGAGACCUAGGAGUUUGCCAUAGAGCUAUGAUAACAGUCCAGGGAAUCUCUAAUAAACCUUGGUUUAUGUUUGUUGACACCUAAUUUUUGCCCUCCACGACUAAAUUUAAUCCUAAGUUUCUUUGACUUUUAAUAAAAUUAAAAUAUUUAUUUCAUCCGAAUAAAAAUUUAUUAAAUAUAUUUGUACGUAAUUUUUUCAUUUUAAAUAGUGAUUAUAAUUUAUCAUAUUCAAUUAUACGAGAUUUUAUAGUUUUGUUAGUUAAACAUAUAUUUUAUAAAAUAUUAAAUUUUAAUCAAGGCUUAGAGAUUCAAAUGAUUAAAGUUUUGAUUUAAAUAUAAUUUACUCUCAAAAAAUAAUUUAUUCGGAUAAAUAUGUGUUUGAUUUUAUAAAAUCAAGAAGCCCGGGAUUAAAGGAAGCAUUAAUUCGCAUCGAAUUUCAAUUUAAUUUAGUCAGUCUAUUAGAUUUGGCCAUAAUUGAAAUCAAAUUAGCCAUAAUUGUAAUGCAAUCCGUCAAUUGAUUUCUAAUUUGGUCAAAAUUAAAUAAAUAUGGCUAAAUUUAAAAUUCCAAUUGGGGUUAUAUUUUAAAUAACCCCAAAAUUCUCAAAAACUCUCAUAACUUCUAUCUAAUUCUACAAAAAAAUAAUUUCAAAUUGUACUACAUUAUACUAUUUCCCCCCAACAUUGUUUUUUCUCAAUUUUGAAAUUCAAAAGUUGUACUACAUUGUAUAAUUUUCCCCCACAUUAUCUUCCACCUCACCUUAUCUUCAAUUUUAAAAAUUCAAACAGACCCUUAAUUGAUUUUUCUCCCACAUUGGUGGAUGACAAGAAAUAGAUCUUCAUCCUUUUCUAUAAAUACUUUUCUCCCACAUUGGUGGAAGAGAAAAAAAAAUCUCAUUCUCUCCUAUAAAUACUACCACUACUUUGGUAAAAAAAAGGGAGAAAAGGAAAAAAAAUGCUAGAAAGGUGAAACAAUACUUUUUGAGCAAAAUAGUUAUUUUUAUUAAGUAAAAAUUUUUAUUUCAUAGAGUUGGUCGGCUAAUAAAAAAUUUCAAGUUGCCGGAGAUAUUUUUUUGGUGGUGGUUGAUUCCGACGAAGCUCGUAGUCUCGUUUUGCUGCCCCCAAAAGGUAAACACAUUUUUUUUUUUUUUAGUUUUUAUUAUUGUUUUCUUCUUCAUCUUUUUUCUUCUUCAUAGUUCGUAGAUAUAAUUUUGUUUGCUGGGAUUGUAUGCUGUAGAUGGCCUUAAAGGCCCUAGGACGUCGUGGUAUCGAUAUUCUAAUUAUUUUCAUAUCCAUGAUAUAAAAAUGAGCUAACAAUAGUUGUAUGUGUCUUUUUUUUUUUUUACUUUAUUCUUUGAAUAUUUUAGAUAAAGUUUCAAUCUUUGCUUAAAAUAUGUAUUUAUACUUUGUUUAAAUUCAUUGUUGUUGGAUAUAUUUGUUUUUAGCAUGUAAAGUUAUUUUCUUUAUGUUGAAAAGAAUAGUUAAUGUUGAAUUUUUCACCUUUUCACCUUAUUCUUUGAUUAUUUUAGAUAAAGUUUAGAUCUUAGCUUGAAAAACAUAAUCAUGUCUUGUUUAAACUCAUUUUUGUUGAAUAUGCUUAUUUUUAGCAUGUAAAAUUAUUUUCUUUAUAUUGAAAAGAAUAGUUAAUAAUGAUUGUUUUGCCUUUUGACCUUAUUCUUUGAUUAUUUGGAUAAAGUUUAGAUCUUUACUUGAAAAGUCAUACCCAUGUCUUAUUUAAACUCAUUGUUGGUAGAUAUGUUUGUUUUUAGAAUGUAAAGUUAUUUUCUUUAUAUUGAAAAGAAUGGUUAAUAUUGAUUGUUUUGCCUUUUGACUUUAUUUUUUGAUUGUCAUGUAUAAAGUUUUGAUCUUUGCUCAAAAGAAAAACUCAUGUCUUGUUUAAAUUUAUUGUUGGCGGAU
rnacentral:lncRNA from 1 species